rnacentral:lncRNA from 1 species
AGGGGUCACAUGACAUUCAUUAUUCUUCAGUAAUAAAUUCCAUCGGUCAUUAUCAGUACAAAACGGACCAAAAAACCGGUCGUUAACGAACUAUUACAUGAUAAUGACCGGUGGGCGUGGUUUCCGUCUGAUAAUGACCGUUGGGGCGUGGUUUCCGUCUGAUAAUGACCGUUGGGUCGUGGUUUCUCUGUUAAUGACCGGUGGGCGUGGUUUCUCUUUUUAGAGAGAUGUACCUUUUUCAAAAACAUGUUCCUAUUUUUAAUAUUAUAUUUAAGUUGUUGAAUUGUUUAUUAUAUGUUUUUGUUAGUUAUAAGAUUAAAGAGAACUUGAUUAAGUAUUU